GCUCACUAUCCCAUUUUGCUUCUUUUCUGCGGUCUUCAUUCAGGUGCUAAACCCAAUGAACAUCGCCUAUCGUAAGCGCGAGCCUGACCGUGUGCUGGCUACCCGGAUGGCGAUUCGCACGCAUCGCAUUAGCUAUAUUACGCUGAUUGCUAUUAUUCUCUUUUUCUCGUUCUCAUUUACCUUUUCGAUUAGCCAUGAAGAAGCGGUAUCAGCAUUCGAGCAGAAUAUUUCCGCUCUUGCGCUGGCAGCUCAGGUAAUCCCUGGCCAUAUCAUCCACAUUACCUCUACCAUCCUCAAUAUUUUUGCCGUACUUACCGCGUUCUUUGGUAUUUAUUUAGGUUUUCACGAAGCGCUUAAAGGUAUUGUAC
rnacentral:misc_RNA from 1 species